GGGGAAUAUAAGAUUGCUUAUUAUUACUCUAGAGUCAAGAAAUAAGGAAAUCAUUAGCUAAAAAGGAAAUUAUGGACUGGAAAGCAAAUAUGCAAGGCAAUCAUUGAAAGUUUGUGUUGGCGAAAACUCAAAACGUAGCCCCAUUGAAGGAAAGAUUGCCUUUUGAUGGGGUAAAAUAACAUUGCUUACUAUUACUCUUUAUACAAGGAAAUCAUGUGUUGGACAUCAAACAUAUAAACAAAUCAUUGAAAAUUUGUAUUGGUAAAAAAUUCAAACCUAGCCCAGAAAUAUUGCCUCUUUAUUUUUUUGGUAAUAUAAUAUUGCUUAUUAUUACUCUAGAUAUAAGGAAAUCAUUGCCGAAAACGGAAACUAUGGACUGGUGAGCAAACAUACAAGGAAAUUAUCGACUAAAAACUAAAAUAUAAGAAAAAGCAACCAUCGCAAUGACCCCUACACCCCUUGGGCCACGCCUUUAUAACAAUGCAUUUGAGCAAGUUUUUAGCUAAUGAAUAGGGGAAUAAAUGUCAUUUUAGGCAUUUUCCCUCAUAUUUCCUCUCCAAAAUAAUAUGGACGAAAAAGAACUUUAACUGGCCUCAUCCACCUAUUUUGAUCCCAUUAUUACUUCAGUUUUUGCUCUCACAUUUAUUUUCUCAUGCCUCCCAACCAAUUGAA
rnacentral:misc_RNA from 1 species